AUUCAGGGACUAGCACACAUCCCCAUUAUUGGAGGGAAUGCAGGGAAAGUCAUUGGAGAAGGUAGACAAUAGAUUUAAUUAAAAAGUAAUGAAGAGGCGGAUAUUUGGGGAUGCUGUGGGAUUUGUUGGGGGGUCCUUCCUGUUAUCUGGUGCCCCCCCAGUGUGUUUCAGCUUCCAGGGGUUAUAAGAAACUUUAUUUAACUUAAUUUAAUCAUCUGGAUGAAUAAAAUAUUUUUUUAAAGUUACUAAUAUGAAAAAAAUUAACACUGAAAUGUAAUUUUUUUUGUUUAAAAUAAAUUUUAAUUUUCUCUUUCCUUUUUUUGCUUUACAGUUGUGUUUACAUAUUCCAAAAAUGACACAAUUUGCAAAAGAAAACUUCACUAUACUAGUGCGGAUUUUUUUUUUUUUUACCAGCCAUGUGUAUUAAAGUUUAAUUCCACUGAGAAAGAGGAGGGGAGGAUGCCUGAGGAAGAAGAGUUGAUUUGGGAUCAUCUAGAGGACAAGGGUUAAUAUAAUUAUCCUACUGGAACCUUGAGACUUAAAAAACAUCAUUAGUCAUAGCAACAGAAGAGCUACCUGAGCCACGGGCCACGAGAGAGGCAAGGAGAAGGAUGAAGAGAAGGUGGGGACAAGGGGAGGGAGGAAGUUUCAAAACCCAUUAGUCCACUUAGCGAGACAAUAUGUGCAAGCACUGAAACGUAAGAGCCUUGUUUAAAAAACCAUCCAAUCUGUGUUUUACAGCAUUCUCAAUGCCUGCCCAGGAAUCAGAAUGCUUAUUUUCUAGAGAUCUUCUCAGAAAUACAUUUGUCAUAAAUACAAAACAAUGCAACCUCACAAUACUUUUCCAAAAAAAGGAACCCAACAUAAUGUUGCAGUUUUUUAAAAUAAUCUCAAGCUUGUGCAAAUUUAUAAAGUUGACAGAGCUGAUGUCUUCAUCUGAUGCAUGUUAUAUUCAAGAUUGUGGCAGAGGAAUGUACAAAUGACUUACGCCUACAGUAAAUUUCCUAUCAAGACGGAUCAUUAGAUCCAUCAACUGUAAUCUUUACUGUCAUAAAUCUAUUAGACUAUCAUUUUCUUUUAUUUAACUUUUAUUUGUUUAGUUUUGGAAGCUUAUUACUGCAAUGCUACCUUUCAAAAACAGGAUUUCCCUAGAGUACAUUUUCAUGUUUUUAGACUAUUUUAUAUCAGAUCAAUGCUACAUUAGUGUAUUUUUUGCAAAGUUUCUUGCUAAUUUUUUUUAACCUUGUUAUGCUCCUGAUUUAAGUAAAUGUGGCAUCUUUCAUCAUUGAAUGAAUUGAAAAAGCUUCAAUUUACUCAGUAAAAAAGUAAUAUGAUUUUCUUUUUGUAUUCUUGAUUUCUCUGUUCUUGGAAAUGUUUUUUUAUUACCAGGUGGCAUUCCAGUUUUCGUACUCCAAAAAAAAAAAAAAGACUUACCCAGCUGCAUGUAUUACAAAUUGUCAAAUGCUCCAAACUUAUUUUAGACCUGCAAGCAUCUUAAAGAAUGCAGCAGCACCAAAGUUCAUUGUUUAUUUACCACACUUUGAAAUAAGACUUUUGAAGAAAACUUCUGAAUUUCUGGAAAAAACUUUGGAACAUUUGUAAAAAUCCAAAAGUGGCUUUUUAACUUGUAAUCCUUUGUGAAUUUCUACCAAGCGCAUUUAUACUUGUACUCCGUUGAAGUUGUUGUGCACUGUUUCUCACACUUUCAGCAAGCAAAAGUAAGCUGAUCACACUAACAAAUGAUUUUGUGAAGUUGGUCACAUCAGAAAUAAAAUAUUAAAUUCUUUUCAUUGUUUUUUUUUUCCAAUGGAAACUACAAUAUAUACAUGUAACACUUUUUCCUAAAAAUGGCAGACUUGAAACCAGCUAAUGGCUACUGUUCACACCAGACACGUUGCGUCCUAAGCUUCAAUGUUAAGUUAAUGUACAGACGCGAUCUGUGGAUCCUGCAAGACCCUGAGCGGCAUGGUUUGCUAGCUCCAUGGACUCUUUGACAGGCUGGCAACCUGUCCAGGGUGUAACCCGCCUUCGCCCAACAUUAAGCGAGACCGUCUCCGGCAACUCAGAGUGCGGAGUGAGCAAGCAAAGGAGGAUCAUCGAGUGAGCGAACGCCACUGCUCAGGGUCCGACAGUUGGACCCUGAGCAGCGAUGCUCGCUAUGCUGGCCUGUGGGUGGUUGGCUGCCCAGCAGACAAAGAGCGGGUGCCAUUGUAGCAACCUCGAUCUCUUCAGCUCCAUGGGCUUAUAAUGUUUAUCUCAUUUUCAUCAAGGCAGUAAUCAUAAGAUCCCCAGUUUGUUUUUUUUCCCUCUUGGGCUAAUGCUCAAACUGGGCCACAGACAUAUUAAAGUAACAUUUAAAACGGCCAUAACCCAGGCGCAGCUCCCUCUGCAUGAGUAAGGCACGGGGAGAGACUCUGAAGGAUCUGCUGAACCGACACGGCAACAUGCUUGCUGGCACCUCUGUAGAUCUCUCCAAAAAGUAUAAACCUAAGAUACUGCAUCAACAUGAGAGAGACAUUUAUGUCGGUUAUGUUAAACACACAAAACAUUAACAUAAGCAUCAUCCAUGUUUUUCAUGAUGUGCCAUAAAUGAAGUUUAGAAAAACAUUGGUGGUUCUUCUGCAGCAUGUUUAGGCGUCAAGCAGUAAAUUUGUCCUGUCAAAAGCGAGGCAACAGGCGCGAAUCGCGUCCGGCGUACAUGCAGCAUAACACUGGAUUUCAUAGAAGUACAUCCCUUUUUUAUAUAUAAUGGAAGCUAAGGGGACAUAGAGAAACUCAGAAGCCAGUUUAUAGUUCAGACACUCCCUCAUUGGCCUCACUUUUAACUUCAUCUAUAAAAGCUGUGCAGUUAUGUCUGUCUUUAAAAUUGACUUUCCAUCUAUACAUUUCCUAAAGUCGGCUGUAGACCUGAUUGGAUCAUGUGGGUUGCUGAAACAUGCCUAGCUACUGUUGGGUAAAGGUAGGGCAGGAAAAAAAAACACCACACACAUUCACAGUCACACCAAUUUAGGGUCACCAAUUAAAAAAUUUUUAGUCCAGUUGGACUAUGGGAGGAAACCAGAGAAAACUCCGACAUGCUCUAGGAGGACAUAUAAACUCCAUACAGAAAGAACCAGGACCUUCUCACUUUGGGGUAAGAAUGCUAACCAAUACACCACUGUGCAACCCAAAUGUUGACUGUAGAGAUGUAGAUGCAACUUUUUAGAUGAACACCAACAAUGUGGGCAUAAUGGGAAAGAAAUUGCCAAACUGCAAGUUAUCAUCUAUUACAAGAAUAUACAUGUAUUCUUGUGAGUUUAUCAGAGAUGAACCAUUUGGCAAAUAUAACAUUAUAUAUCUGACAUCCACCGUUGAUUUGUUUAGAUGCGUUAAAAAAGAUCCAUCCCCUUCUGGCUUCUGUUGGGAAAACACUGCGGUGAAACGGAGAGUGUCUGACAUCAAAAAGUGACUGAUGACAGUUUGAGCCGGUGUGUUUCUCAUUAACCAGCACACAAGGAUUUUGCCUCUCCCUCACACUCAGACUCAAGUUGAUGAGUUGUUUAUCGGAAGCCAUCAACAUGCUUGUGAUGACAGAGACGCUCCCACAGCAAAUACGGCAGCAUGUUUUUGAUCACGCCAUCCCUUUAAUAAUGCUAUGCUAAUUAAUGUAGCUGACUGAGAAGCAGCCAUCUUUCCAAGGACAUAUUCCCUCCACCUUCCAAUUCCCAGCACACUUUUGAGCUUUAAAGCUGCUGUAUCAAGAGGGUUUCUUCUCACGAGAUUUAUUCCUUAUUUUAUUUGUGUUUUUAAAAGGGUAUUUGUGGGUGAGAGAAGAAAAAAACUGUUAAAAAAUGGGGGGAAAUGGGGGAAAAAUAUUCAUCUGUAAAACAAAAGAAUGAAAGGAAAUCAGGCAAAAUUGCUGACUUUAACUAUUCUUUCAGAGGGGAAAUAAACUCUGAUUAUCAAAUCACUUACAACCAUUGUGUCAUAAAUCAUUGCAUAUAAGAGGGACGAUGACACAUUCCUCAUUCCGUUUCCUCCGAUUUCUGCAUGCCUUUCUUUUCCGGAGAGUGCUCAUGAAUGAUUUAAAAAGCGAUCUGUUUUCUGAGCCUCAGCUGCCCCGGAGGAAGAUAACAUAGAUGGGAGGAGUCUAAGCGAGGUGGGAGAGUCCACGCAAAGUUUUCCUGUCUUUGAGCACACAUGUGGCUCGUAUGUUUCAUUCAUGCUGUGGAAAAUAAAGGCAGCAGUGCUCAUAGAAUAGAAUAGACAGAGUUUUCAAAUGCAUGAUCUGUGAACGGGAGAAUAAUAUUUACAGAGCAUCACACCUCACAUCAUUCAUCACAAAAUCACACACCCCAGCUAGUCCCCUGAAACUAGAAGUUAAUCCAUCAUCUGCCUGGAUCGCCCCUCUCUCCCGUUAUCCAGGCUUACACCUCCAAUCCACUCACCUUCCCUCUACGAAGGACAGGAAAGAAAACUUUACUGUAGUUCAAGAAUAGUCUGACAGUCUGAAAGUCACCCUAAGAAGCUAAUCAGGGAAGUAAAAGAGGCUGGAGGCUCCAAAGAGAGAGCAAAUAGGAAGCAUGUGCUCUUCAGUGGAGAGGAUGGAGUAGCCAGAGGCCGCAGAUAUUCCUUCCUAUCUGCCCUGGUAUCGUCAUUCAUGAUUCCACUACAACAAUAAGCCUUUGUAAGAGAAGGAUUAGCCUCUGAGAGCUGUUCAGGGCCUAAUUAGUCUUUCCCUCAGGAAGCAGUGGUAACCCACAAGUACAAGAUCAGGGUUACAUAAGGUCACACAUUUGCAAACUUGAUUUAGUAUGUUUGAUUUAUUUUUCGUUUUUUACAUUUUUAAUAUAGAAUCUUAGACAGAUUUUCUUGGUAGAAGCUGUUGUUUAAAAAAUAAAUCAAAUGUUAUUUUUUUAUUUUAGACGUUCUAAGCUAAAUGUUUCACUGUAAUGCUUUCUAUUAACUAUAAACACGAAGAUAAAAGUCAGAGGUCAAGAUAAAAAAAAGGUUUGAGGUAGAGGACUUGUUGCAAAGUCCUCCACCGCCACCCACCAAAAUGACCUAAUUCCAACAUAGCACAUUUCUUUGAGGUUUUUGUUAGUCUCCAUCAGGAAAUUUAAGAUGUUAAACAGGCCACAUGGGGGCGAUAUAGCAGGAUAGCAGACUUCUUAUUUUGGUAUUAGCGUGUAAGAAUUUUUGAACCUCUGAGGGAGAAACGACUUCUUUAAAUAUUUACCAUAUUUAAAAAAAAAAAAUUGUCUGUCGUCCAUUUGUAUUUUGUUCUGGCUUUAUCCUGAAGAGUCAUAGGUGUUGCUGGAGCCUAUCCCAGCAACUUCAGAGCAAAGGCAUUGGACAGUUCACCAGUUCACUGUAAGGUUUUGGUGUUUUUUGACUAGGCAGCAGUGGAUGCAGUUUAUUUUUAAGUAGUAGCAAAAGUAAGUUUAUGCCCCAGUCCGUGGGGUUAAAACAAUGACAGCUUGUUUUAGUAUUACAAAAAAAGGGAUUGAAAAAUAAAAAUUUAACAUAAAAUGGAAGAUCAGCUAAUAAACUAUGUGUUCUUGUAAACUAGUUUUUUUUUCACUUUGACUGAAAAAAGUAAAAAAAAAAAGUUCACACUGAGAUAAUAUAAACGUAACCCUUUAACGCCUUAGUAUUCACCGGCACAUGGACAUGGCACAUGCUAUUUGAAUUACUGUAGAUCUUUGACCGUUUUUGCAAGGAAGUUAAUUCCAGCCGAUUCUGCAGAAUCUGUUAAUUGUGUAAUCAAUUCACUAUCUGUAAAGUGUUGCAUAUCAGUGCAAAAGCUGCUUGAACAAAUUUUAUUAUACAUAUUUAAUUUAAUCUCACUUUUAAAAAGUAAGCCAAUUAGAAGAAAGCCAGCACAAAGUAAGAAGUUCUGUCCACAAAGCUGCUCGUUUGAAUAAUAAAUAACUUAAAAAAAAUCAAAGGAUGCAUAAACCCCCCCCAGAAAUAAUCAGUUUGAAAAAAAAAUUGACUUUUUUACAUUUGUAAAUACAACAUAAGAUGGCAUGUAAAAGGAACCACUCAUUGAUAUAUGUGACAAAAGAUUACAUGACAAACACUGCACUAUAAGAAGACUCCCUCAAAUUAUCAGAAAAAAAAGCUAUAUGAAGUAAAGAUGACUAAGAGCCAGCAUUAACACUGCACCACACUGGUUUUGGUAAUGCCUUUUUCUUCUUCCACAGAGCAGCCCAAGAUGUGAGUUAUAUUUGAGGGUAAACCUGGCAGGUCCACUCAUGCAUGGAUCUCAUGGGUCAUGCUGCUUCUGCAGAAUCAAAUGGACAGGAUGGAGGCCUCAUUGACCCACACAUUGAUGUUGCCUAUGUGGGACAGUGGCCAGGGCUGCAUGUUUCCCAGGUGGGGGCAUAAAGCAGCAUCCCACUGCCGAACUCUAUUAUCCAGUCUUCCUCAAUGGUCCACUGCUGGACAGAGCAAGCAUGCAGAGUCUGGCAUAGCCACCACCAAACGGAGAGCAUGAGCUAAGCUUGGAUCUUCCUCAUCUCUCCCUCAUCAUUAGCUACCCCACUCGACUACGAACUGCCUCAAACCGCUCAUUCCAUCACCCUCAACGCAAAGCUGCACUUGAUUCCAUGCACAGAAACUACAAAAAAACUACAGAGGCUCCUCACACGCCACAGAAGAGACAGUAGCAUCUUCGUCAAAGUGCUGGAAGCCCAUCCCGUUACGGCAGCCAACAUGCCAGCCUGUUUGACUCUGUGGAAACAAAAAUGCUGCAUUCCCAGGAAACAGGGGAGAUAAAUAGAGAAGAAAAAAAAUGCAUCCCCGUAGAGAUGAAGGGAACAAAAGCUACAGUAAGCCAGUGGAAGUACAGAAAGCUGAAGUACAGUGAGCUUCAAGAAGCCUGAAACCUGAUUUCUAUCAGUGUAACAACAUACUGUAACACUCACUCUGUAGAAGGUAGCAUCUUAUGCAGUCUAUGUCAAGAACCAGAUGAGGAAGCGGAUUUCUCAAUCAAGAACCAUUAGCUCUGCACACUGGAUGAAGCAUUAAUAAAUGUAUUUAUUGUACAGUCCUUUUUUUUAAUUUUAACUUGUGCAAGCGCUGAAUGUUUGAAUGCAAAUGCACGCCAAUUAGAAAAGACACUAGCUUAGAGCUGCCAAAUCUCAGGACAAGUAAAAGAAGAAGAGGAGGAGGAGGAGGAGAGGAAAAAAUGCUUGUCUAAAAAUAAAUGAUCUGUAAAUCAAGGAGUUGAUCUAAUGGGCAUAAUCUCCUGCAAAGGUGUAGAUGGUAACCAGAUCUUUGCAUGUUGGUGUGAAUUCUUUGAUGCUUAAAUAGUCGGGUUUACCGGUAAAGAUGGAUCCGUUUAAUUGUAACCUUUAGAUCAUUUUGGUUAGUUUGAUGCAUAGUUUUUAAGUUCUUCCAUCGAGGUCACACCUGGUAACAAACUCAGUUAGUCGGAACACCAACCUACUGACUUAAAGUCCAUGUUUUGAGCUGAUUAUUGUCAAACUAAAUUUUGUUUCUUUCCUAGUCUUGUUGCGUGCUUUUGCCGUGUUCAGUUUUUUCUGCUUUCUAUUACUUUUUUUUCAAAUGGUUUCCACGGCAACUCCAUAACAUGACAUCACAAACAUUUAGAAAGAAUAGAGCAGUCUUUUAUUGUUUUCCCAGACCAUAUCUGAAGUAAAAAGUAGAAACACUGCAUUUGGUUAGUUAAAAAAAAAGCUACUUUUGCGCAACUUUAAAAAAAAUAAAAAAUCUUGGACUCAGGGGUAUGACGCUUUACGUGCGCAAUUCUGUCAUUAUUGCCACCUGGCUUCAAACCAGAUCAAACUUUAUGUAACUGUUCUGACAUAAACUGCUGUGCUUUAAAAUGCAAGUUAGACAAACAGAACAGAAGUGCAAAUACAGCUUUUGUUUACAGUUACAUUUUACCAAGUUUUUAUUUAUUUAUUUUAUUUUAAAAAAGGUCCAUUAUGUACCCCUCUAAGGCGUCAUUCUUUCCUUCCUGACUGAAUUUUCCUCUCUAAGCUCUGAGCAAGUGCACUGUGGGGAGGACGGACUGACUGGUCAUUUGCGGCUGUGGGGAUUUAACUAGAGAGGAACUAGAUCUUUCCACAAUAAUGAUACUCGUCCCAUGUAAAAGUGCUGACUAAGACCAGACUCCUUCCUGUCCCGCCCUCCCUCUUCCUUUUUCCCUUCUUUUCUCCUGUCUCAUCAACCGUGCAGAACUCUCUGGUUCCUUGAGAUGGAGCGUCGCUGGCCAACCUUUAUAAGGAGGCCCAUUAAGGAGUCCAUCAAUAUUUCAUCAUCGCUCACUCAGAAACAUAGUUGGAGAAGUUUUCAGACCGAAGCCAUUAGGGGGCAGACGUCAAUACGUGACGGCAUAGAAACAGUCAGACAAGGAUGGACAAAACUUGUCUGUCAUGAGUCAAGUCCUAAGCAUUUAACUUUCCUCUGCGGCCUGAGUAGAAUCCUAUAAUUCAGAUUUUAUAACCUGUUUUUUUUUUUUUUUUUUAAUUAUUGUGCCUUCCUUAGCUGGGACAAGCCUGCAGGGGAGAGUGUUAAAAACUACUUCAGCAGAAAAUUGAACAAGUUUUCCUGCAGAUAAACCUUUUGUGUCCUUGGGAAAAAAAGAGAUGCUCCAACAUUUUAUCUCAGGAAGUGUGAGGUUCUCUGGAAGCCCUUUCAAAUGUAAACAACACCUCCAGACAUCUGAAAGCAAGGUCGAUUUAUGUC